rnacentral:rRNA from 1 species
UACGUAGGAGGCGAGCGUUGUCCGGAGUUACUGGGCGUAAAGGGUGCGCAGGCGGGGGUUCGCGGUUUGCGGUGAAAGCGCCCGGCUCAACUGGGCGAGGGCCGUGAAGACGGGGCCUCUUGAGGCUCGGAGAGGGACGUGGAAUUCCGGGUGGAGCGGUGAAAUGCGUAGAGAUCCGGAAGAACACCGACGGCGAAGGCAGCGUCCUGGCCGAGUACUGACGCUCAGGCACGAAAGCGCGGGGAGCCGAACGAAGGAUUG